UAACCUUGGGACAAGUUCACUUGGCUAAAAUGCUGCUGUGGUUUUUCUGUUCAUGAUUGGCUUCUGACUGAAACACUCCUGAAUGGACCAUAAAGCAAAUGCAAAAGACAUUUAAAAAAGGCUUCCCAGCAAGCAAUGAUUAGAAGAGCUACUGGGGAUGAGCUGAGUCUCCACAAGUGAGGAAAGGAUCCUAGGACGUUGUCAUUCACACUGGAGGUAUGACUCCAUGGAAGACAUGGACUUCAGGAGUUUCUUGGAUGAGUACAAAGUCUGAAAACCAGUGGCAACACAAUCUAGGAGUUGGUUUUGUCAAAACACUUGGGAAUGAGGAUGUUUUCCCAGACAUGUGCUUGGGUCCGCUAAUGCCUGGCAUACCUCCAUGGAAAAGGAUCUUUCUGUAGAACCUGGUGGCCCUGGGAACAACACUGCCACCUACUGGUACUUAUCUCAGACUGCAGCUCAGAUUACCAGACCCUGUAGAAAUGUGGAUAUAAUGUGGAGAUCAAAAAAUCUGACAACCCCACAAUGGGUUUGUACAAGUGAACAGAAAUGUCUGUUUCCUGCUAAAUCCAUUAGAAACUGAUAUAGGGGUGAGAAGAAAAGAAGUGAUGGAAAAGUUAGGUAUUGAGGGAGUCUAUCAGUGGGUUACAAAGUGAGUACUGGAGAUGCCGGCCCAAAGAGGGAACGUAUCCUAUGGUCGUACCUUACCAAAGAGAAGAGUUUAACCAAGGAAGAGGACUAGGACUAAGAGAGAAAGCAAAUGAAGAGGAGAAAAGAAUAGGGGUGAGAAGGAAAGCAAAUGCAACAAAGCAGAGAACUGAACUGGCUUUGGACACGUGCCCACCUCCAUGAAUGAGCCAGGGAGGCAGUGCACCAGGGGCUCUAGAAGUCUGCUUUGAGAAACUGCCAUGGUGUUUCUGUAUCUUUCUGCUCAAUCAGAAAUUUUAAUGUUCAAGACCCAGGCUGAAGUAGCUGAUCUUAUCUGGAAGUUAAAAGUGGAACAAGAGAGCGUGGCAAACUCAAGUUCCUAAAUUUCCACUUAGAACUGAUACGUAUCACUUCUGCUCAGAUGUCAUUU